rnacentral:piRNA from 1 species
ACCUUGCUUGUGCUUUGAACCAUCUCCAGU